rnacentral:rRNA from 1 species
GUCGAGCGGGACACUUGUUGUAGCAAUACAGUGAGUGUUUAGCGGCAGACGAGUGAGUAACACGUAAGAAAUCUACCCCAAAAAAGGGAACAACCUGCCGAAAGGUGGGCUAAUACUCUAUAUAAUCCCAGGUUGGCAUCAUCCAGGGAUGAAAGGCGUAAGCCGUUUUGGGAGGAUCUUGCGGCCUAUCAGCUAGUUGGUGGGGUAAAGGCCCACCAAGGCUAUGACGGGUAGCCGGCCUGAAAGGGCGAUCGGCCACGGAGGCACUGAGAAACGGGCCUCACUCCUACGGGAGGCAGCAGUGGGGAAUUUUGGACAAUGGGGGAAACCCUGAUCCAGCAACGCUGCGUGAAGGACGAAGGUCUUCGGAUUGUAAACUUCUUUUGUUCGGGACGAAAGCCCGCAAGGGUUUGACGGUACCGGAUGAAUAAGCCACGGCUAACUACGUGCCAGCAGCCGCGGUAAGACGUAGGUGGCGAGCGUUACUCGGAAUCACUAGGCGUAAAGCGCGUGUAGGCGGGUGCUUAAGUCUGCUGUGAAAUCUCCCGGCUCAACUGGGAGGGGUCAGCAGAUACUGAGCGUCUAGAGUGAGGCAGGGGGUACUGGAAUUCCCGGUGUAGCGGUGAAAUGCGUAGAUAUCGGGAGGAACAUCAAUGGCGAAGGCAGGUACCUGGGCCUUUACUGACGCUAAGACGCGAAAGCUAGGGGAGCAAACAGGAUUAGAUACCCUGGUAGUCCUAGCUGUAAACGAUGAG